AAAAUUGCCGUCAAUUCUUCUGGUGUUAUAAACUUAUCGUAUUCAUGUAAGCCCUUUGGUAGUAUUUUCAAAAUAUCUUCCAGAAGUAUUAUUAGGUGAAGUUUUGCAAGUAAAGUUUUACUUGGUGCCAUUUUGACUAUUCUGCCUCCUGGUUUAAGAGCGUUCACACAACUUUUAACAAACAAUUCCUGAUCUAGCACGUGUUCUAUGACCUCUGAUGAAACCACGACAUCGUAAUGAUUAGGAUGUUGCAAUGAAUGAUCCUGAAAAGUUGUGCAAUAAUACAUUGGUUUGUUGUUCGCAAUAUCUGGGUUUGAAUCGCUGUGGUUUUGCGCAAUAUCAAUUAAUUCCGGGCUUGGAUCGAUUGCUGUUAUAUUAACGCCAGCUUUUGCUAAUCC